UGCAAGUCGAGGGGUAUAGGUUUUCGGACCUAGAGACCGGCGCACGGGUGCGUAACGCGUAUGCAAUCUACCUUUUACAGAGGGAUAGCCCAGAGAAAUUUGGAUUAAUACCUCAUAGUAUAAUGACUCGGCAUCGAGAUAUUAUUAAAGUCACAACGGUAAAAGAUGAGCAUGCGUCCCAUUAGCUUGUUGGUAAGGUAACGGCUUACCAAGGCAACGAUGGGUAGGGGUCCUGAGAGGGAGAUCCCCCACACUGGUACUGAGACACGGACCAGACUCCUACGGGAGGCAGCAGUGAGGAAUAUUGGUCAAUGGGCGCAAGCCUGAACCAGCCAUGCCGCGUGCAGGAUGAAGCAUCUAUGGUGUGUAAACUGCUUUUGUACGAGAAGAAACACUCCUACGUGUAGGAGCUUGACGGUAUCGUAAGAAUAAGGACCGGCUAACUCCGUGCCAGCAGCCGCGGUAAUACGGAGGGUCCAAGCGUUAUCCGGAAUCAUUGGGUUUAAAGGGUCCGUAGGCGGUUUUGUAAGUCAGUGGUGAAAGCCCAUCGCUCAACGGUGGAACGGCCAUUGAUACUGCAAGACUUGAAUUAUUGGGAAGCAACUAGAAUAUGUAGUGUAGCGGUGAAAUGCUUAGAUAUUACAUGGAAUACCAAUUGCGAAG
rnacentral:rRNA from 1 species